rnacentral:rRNA from 1 species
CCUACGGGAGGCAGUAGUGGGGAAUCUUGCGCAAUGGGCGAAAGCCUGACGCAGCAACGCCGCGUGCGGGAAGAAGGCUUUCGGGCUGUAAACCGCUUUCAGCAGGAACGAAAAUGACGGUACCUGCAGAAGAAGGAGCGGCCAACUAUGUGCCAGCAGCCGCGGUGAUACAUAGGCUUCAAGCGUUGUCCGGAUUUAUUGGGCGUAAAGAGUUCGUAGGCGGUCGAGUAAGUCGGGUGUGAAAAUUCUGGGCUCAACCCAGAGACGCCACCCGAUACUGCUUGACUUGAGUUCGAUAGGGGAGUGGGGAAUUCCUAGUGUAGCGGUGAAAUGCGCAGAUAUUAGGAGGAACACCGGUGGCGAAGGCGCCACUCUGGAUCGAUACUGACGCUGAGGAACGAAAGCAUGGGUAGCAAACAGGAUUAGAUACCCUGGUAGUCCAUGCCGUAAACGGUGGGCACUAGGUGUGGGUUUCUAUUAACGAAAUCCGCGCCGUCGCUAACGCAUUAAGUGCCCCGCCUGGGGAGUACGGUCGCAAGCUAAAACUUAAUGAAUUGACGG